rnacentral:rRNA from 1 species
AGUGAACGCUGGCGGUAGGCCUAACACAUGCAAGUCGAACGGCAGCACAGUAAGAGCUUGCUCUUACGGGUGGCGAGUGGCGGACGGGUGAGGAAUACAUCGGAAUCUACUUUUUCGUGGGGGAUAACGUAGGGAAACUUACGCUAAUACCGCAUACGACCUACGGGUGAAAGCAGGGGAUCUUCGGACCUUGCGCGAUUGAAUGAGCCGAUGCCGGAUUAGCUAGUUGGCGGGGUAAAGGCCCACCAAGGCGACGAUCCGUAGCUGGUCUGAGAGGAUGAUCAGCCACACUGGAACUGAGACACGUUCCAGACUCCUACGGGAGGCAGCAGUGGGGAAUAUUGGACAAUGGGCGCAAGCCUGAUCCAGCCAUACCGCGUGGGUGAAGAAGGCCUUCGGGUUGUAAAGCCCUUUUGUUGGGAAAGAAAAGCAGCAGGUUAAUACCCCGCUGUUCUGACGGUACCCAAAGAAUAAGCACCGGCUAACUUCGUG